AUCUUAGGCGCUCGGCGCGUCGUGGCGGCGGCGGGAUGGCGGCUGAUAGCCGGGAGGAAAAAGGUGAGUUAAAUUUGUUCAUGGAAGGAUCCAACACACCCCAGAGUCAACAAAAGAUGAGUUGCAGGAGACCCCAGUUGGGAGUGUCUGUAAUGAAAAGGACUCAUUUGGACCUUCCCUCUUCAGCAGUGAUGAACUAUGGUGAACUGAACGUUCUGGAUGACAUUCUGACUGAUGCUCCUGACCAAGAUGAUGAGUUGUAUAACCCUGACAGUGAGCAAGAUAAAAGUGAGAAAAAGGGAUCAAAAAGAAAAACUGACAGGAUGGAAAACGCUGAAAGCAAGAGACAAAAACCUUCUGUGCAUUCAUCAAGGCAAAUGAUGCCAAAGCCUCCUAGUUCAUCAGUUAGCAAUAACAAGAGAAUAGUGAGUACAAAAGGAAAACCAGUAUCAGAAUACAAGAAUGAGGAGUAUCAGAGGUCUGAUAGAAACAAGCGCCCAGAUGGUGAUCGAAAGACACGCAUGUCAAGCAGUUCCAGGGAACCUUAUAAAGGACAACCAGAAAAAACUUGCAUGAGGAAGAGGGAUAUUGACAGAAGGGCGAAAUCUUCUACACCAGAUGGCUCAGAGAGAAUCAGGCAUGAUGUGGAUAGAAGACCAAGCAGAUCCAGCCAUUCUUCUAAAGAAGAGGUGAACUCUGAGGAAUAUUGUUCAGAUCAUGAGACUGGCAGUAGUGGUUCCUCUGAACAAGGCAAUACAGAGAACGAGGAGGAAGGAAUGGAAGAAGAGGAAGAUGAUGAAGGGGAGGAGGACGAAGAGGUGGAAGAAGAUGGGGAGGAGGAUGAAGAAGAGUAUGAACAGGAUGAGAGAGAUCAGAAGGAAGGAAAUGACUAUGACACACGAAGUGAAGCCAGUGAUUCUGAUUCUGAAUCCGCCUCUUUCACAGAUGGGUCAGUCAGAUCUGGAUCUGGUUCAGAUGCAUCAGAUGAGAAAAAGAAAGAGAGGAAGAGAGCUAGAGGUAUCUCUCCGAUUGUUUUUGACAGAAGUGGAAGUUCUGCAUCAGAAUCGUAUGCAGGUUCAGAAAAGAAGCAUGAGAAAUUAUCAUCUUCCGUUCGUGCUGUCCAAAAAGACCAAACAAGUAAACUUAAAUACAUUCUCCAAGAUGCAAGAUUCUUUCUCAUCAAGAGUAAUAACCAUGAAAACGUAUCACUUGCUAAAGCAAAGGGAGUAUGGUCGACACUUCCAGUGAAUGAAAAGAAGCUUAAUGCUGCAUUUAGAUCAGCGAGGAGUGUUAUUUUGAUAUUUUCUGUAAGAGAGAGUGGCAAAUUCCAAGGAUUUGCAAGACUGUCUUCAGAGUCCCAUCAUGGAGGAUCACCUAUACACUGGGUGCUGCCUGCAGGAAUGAAUGCAAAAAUGUUGGGAGGUGUCUUUAAAAUUGACUGGAUUUGCAGGCGUGAAUUGCCGUUCACUAAGUCUGCUCACCUGACCAAUCCUUGGAACGAACAUAAGCCAGUAAAGAUUGGACGCGAUGGACAGGAAAUUGAGCCGGAAUGUGGAACCCAACUUUGUCUUCUCUUCCCUCCUGAUGAAAGUAUUGACUUGUAUCAAGUCAUUCAUAAAAUGAGGCACAAGAGAAGAAUGCACUCACAACCCCGAUCAAGAGGACGGCCAUCCCGUCGAGACCCUGUUCGGGACGUGGGAAGGUUAGAAACGUUCUUUGGACUGAUAAUAGGCACAUGUAUCAGAAUAACGUGAUGGAGGAAUAUGAUUCGUCAAAGCUUUCCCUGCGAUAAAGAAGAGAGAAAAUCCUCAAAUCAAGCUGCAUGGACAAGUUUGUGGCUUCAUUGAGGAUUUCACAUGGUUCCCCGGUCUGUCAUUUUUCAAGAGGAAAAUGGGGAUCUUUGCUUUUGCAGAAAAAAGCUCUUAAAGUGCUGUCUAGUUUAGACUAGAUCAUUUAUUGAGAUAAUGCAACGUGUAAUGCUAGCUGUAGGUAAGCUUGGCUUGAUUAUGAGCAGGCUAGAUGGAGAGAAGGAAAUAUUUAUAUGCCAAAAAUGUGUUAAUAUCUUGUAAAAGCCUUUUCUUUCAGGUGUGUCUCUGGAUAAGCCUUAUCAAAUAUGGGACUUUUAUAAGGAUCACUUAGAAUUUUGCAGAAGAUGCCGCCUCAUUUUGAGGAUAAAAUAUUUAAGUUAUUUUGAUAUUCAAGAGGAGCAUUAUUGGGACUGUUUCAAAUUGUGUCACCGUGAUGUGUUAACCCCAUUGCCAAAUAUUCUCUAACAUGUAACCACUGAAUUCACACAUCUUGCUGAGCUUCUGAAAACAGUAGGUUCUUUCCAAAAGGGAUCAAGUGGCCCUUGGAGACCCGGCAACAAACCAAAAAGAAUGGCUGUUGCUGUGUCUGUAUAUACAACCUUUCCAGAUGCUGGCAGUACCUGUGGACUUAAAGUAUUUUUAGAGGAUCGACAUGGUUAUUGAUCACUGCUAUAUGAACUUAACAUCAUUUUCCAGGAAAAAAGGGGGUAUAACUUGUUACAGAAUUGGAGAAGUCUUUGCAAAGAACUGAUGUUAGUCCUUCUGCCAAACACCUUUUCCCCGUGUAGCCACUUUGCAUACAGACUGAUGUAUGGUUUGGGCUGAAACCUUUGGUUAAGUUUCCUCUUUGUGGAAACAUCCUGUGGUAGGUACAGAUACCCAACAAGAGUCCCCAUUUCCUUGAGCUUAAAAAAAGGACACUGUAACGAGUAGGUAGGAGGAAACCUGGCAGCGCCCCCCUAUUUUUGGCUUUAAAGGACUGAACACCAAGAUGGCUUUUGAAGUUAAGCUAAGAGGUUUCCAGUGCAAUAAAGUGUAUACAAGUGAAGGUUUUGCAAUGGACUGCAAACUAUACAUAUAACACCACCACACCUUCUCAAGCCUGCCAGGGCCUCCAUUUAUGUAUGUGGCUUACAGCUUAAAGUCAGUAGUUGGACUACUAUAUGAACUGUUUCUAUCAUAUUUUAUACCGGUCGUAAAUGCACUCUCAAAACUACAAGAAAGCGGCGUCGACCAGAAGAUUAUGAUAUUCAUAACAGCAGAAAGAAACCAAGGAUUGACUAUCCCCCUG